CUAGGAGCUUCCAGCCCAGCCCAGCCCACUAGACAACUCCACUAGCUAGGUAGAAGUAGCACACGCGGUGCAUCCACGACGAGACGAAGACGACCCUGGGUGGGCUGCUGCCGGCUGCGCGCGUCGAUGACGACGACGAUCAGGCCGAGGCGGAGGCGGAGGCGCAGGAUGCGCAGUUGCAGGCCGGCCCGCAGGAGCAGUUAGCCUUCCUGUUCUGGCGUCCGGACGGCAUCGUGGCCCUGCCGCACG
rnacentral:lncRNA from 1 species